AUGGAUUUUUUUUUUAAAUGUAGUAGGCUCUCAAGCAGAGAUUGCUUUCUGGAUUUAAGGAGUGACUUGAUUCUUCUCUUUGCUUCAGCAGGUGGUGGGAUAGAUGGUCUCCAUAAAGCUCCAGCCCCUCAACAGGAAAGUCCCGCACAUGUGGUGGAAUUGUCAGAAAUAUGUAAAGAAACAUUUUCCCAAGGUUCUGAACUAAGCUUGGUCAGGGAGAACUGUCUGGAUAGGCAGCAGAAAAACAGCUCAGGAGAAGAGGAAGAAAAGUCCAUUAAUGUGAGAACGGACUUGAGGAAACUUGACAGAGACACAGUUGAUCUAGAAGCUGAACUAGGGGUACAUCCAUGGUGUAUUUGUUCAGACUGUGAGAAACUAUGCCAGUCCUUAACACGUCUUGAUAAUCAGGAAAGCCCCAGGAAAGAAGACCUGAAAUCUAUGAUGCUUCCUGAGGAUUCAUAUGAAAUAUCUGAGAAGAAUCAUUCCCAGAAUCCUAAAGGAAAAAAUGAAGAGGGCCAAAAUAAUGUGGAGAAGCAACAGCCAAACCAUGUGGGAAAUGAAGAAGAGAAGUGCAUUCUGUUGAGGAAUCCAGAUCUUCAAGACACUAAACUAGCUCAGUAUGUGUGUACUGAUGAUGCAGAACAGGUUGAAUCAUCAGCACUUGUCAGUAAUCAUAAUCCCAGUGGGGAAGGUGCCAGGUUGGUAAUACUACCUGAAGAAUCACAGCAAGUUUGGAAGGAGGGAGCUUCCCAGAGCCACAGGCAAGAUAUGCUGCUUGGCCCUGGGCCUAUUUGCCCAACAUUGAGUUCCCCAGAGCUGAAUGGAGUUGCAGAACAUAUCAGUGGGAACCAGAACAUUUUGGUAAGCCACGAGGGUAACAGAUCAGGUGAUAAAGCAGAGCAGAAGAAACUCAUUCUUUUUGAAGACAGUAUGGAAGAACCAGCCAGAGAGAUGCUUCACCCCAGUGUUAAUCCAACCCCGAAAGCCCAGUGUACAUGCGCUAAUUGUGGGAGUCAAGAUGAAUCCCCAGAGCACAAUGACUGUCAGAAAAUCAUCCAUGGGGAAGACCUGUAUACAUGCCCUAAGUGUGCAACACUUUUCCCCCAAAAUUCAGAUCAAGUCACACAGCAUAGCUGCUCUGAUUCUGAAGGAAAUUCCAGCAGCCUGUCAACAUCUAUAAAACACAGAAAAUCUGUCAAAAGGGGGAAAUAUUUUAAGGGGAGAAACAUACACAUUAAAUGCAUUCUUGGGGCACAUCAGAGAAUUCACCCAAGAAGGAAACUUUGGAAAGACUGGAGCUUCUACAGACAAAGUGGGUGCAGGCCCCUUGGAUCAGGAAAGGAUCUGAGGAAACAGAACAUGUUAAAAUCCAGUACUCGGAAUUGUGAGCCACUGCAUCAGACUACAGAGACAGUCAAACUAUCAUGUGAGCCUUCUUCAAACCCUAAAUACCUGGAACCUCAGCAAAUAUCUUCUUCACCUCCCUUUUUAGACAGCAUAGCUGCUGAGCCAACUUUAAUGCACUUAAUUACUCUCCUGCAGCAAGUGGCUACAGAUACUGCGGAAAUCAAAACUGCCGUCUCCAGCCUGCACACCACAGUCACUGGCAUCCAGAAUGCCCUAGGAAGUUUCCCUGGAUCUACAGAUGAGACUGAGCACAGGAUUUCCAACUUAGAGGACACCUCCCGGAACACCAAAGCUCAGCUUGUGCAGCACUGCAAUGAUAUUAAAGCGAUUGAGGCCAAACUGGUUGGGAAAGGGGUUCAGAACAAUGUCAUAGCAGGAUUGUGGUCAUCCUUGAAGGUCAACAGAGGGCCAAGCCCUCUGAAUUUAUCUCCUAAUUCAUGA
ensembl:lncRNA